rnacentral:lncRNA from 10 species
CCGUCCCUAUGUCGAAGAACACAGUGAAAAGUAUAAAGAGAAAAGGCAAUACUUACAUAUGGUGAAACAAAUCCCAACAAUGUUUACCAGUAAUGGAAUGAUCGAGAGGCUGUUGAUCAGAAAACGUAUGGAACUGUAUUUUGGGAAGCUUGAAAUAUUUUCAUCAUUUGACGAUUUCCUAUUGAAGAGUUUAAAUAGAGUUGCAGAGGA